UAUAAAUAGGAAUUCGCCUAGGUUCAAUCAAACAGUUGCUUGGAGCCUCAGAGAAUCCUUAACUCUCACGCAUCGAAACUCAAGCCAACUUCCAAGAAGCGCCAUGGGAAACUGGUUCAGAGGAAUAAUGUGUUUAAGCAACGUUCUCUUCGUCGUCGUUCUUAUCCAACUUUUGGUGGUUUCUUCAUAUUCCGAGGCUGUCGACGACAAUGUGGAACUAGGGGAAGCACGGAAUAUUAUCGUGCCGCGCCAGAAAUGUCCACCUGGUGAGGUGAUGACUCCAAGGGGAUGCGCACCCUCUGGGCCCAGCGGAUAAACUCGAAGCAAGAGGAACUGGAUUCAACUGCAUCGGCAAAGCGAUGAAUGUACUUGCUACAUUUUAUAUGCUAUAGGAAUUCUAUUUCUUGUUUCGAUUUGAAUAAACGGAAUAUACAAAACACUCGUUCAACUUGCCAUUUCCCAUAAAUUCCAAUCGAUGUCGCGUCAAUCCAAGGACCUGUACCACCUGCUUAUGGCUAUUCGUUGACAAGCAAAACAAGCAAACGCGAUUCUUUAUGACAUCGAUGAAUGGUAUAGUCGAAUUAUUCUGGAAGACCUGGUACGAUGAUCAGUACGCGAAAUGAAGGAUAAUUCCGAACCAAACAACUUGACGAACGAGUCGCUGCGAGCGAGAAGCUGCGAUUUUUCAUUGCGACUGUAAAAACGCGCCGAGCUGCUUAUUAUUUACCAACGCUAUCUUUAUCACUUGUUUAUCGAGUCGUACCGUUGGC
rnacentral:misc_RNA from 1 species